ACGAGUCGACUGAAGAUUGCAUGGUCGGUGACUAUCAUGUCCCGGCAGGCACGCGCCUCCUUGUUAACCUUUCAAAGCUUCAUCGAGACCCAAGGGUUUGGUCCGAUCCGAAUGAGUUUCGACCAGAGCGAUUUCUCACAACCCACAAGAGCUUUGACGUUAAGGGUCAUGAUUUCGAGUUAAUUCCAUUUGGAAGUGGUAGAAGAAUGUGUCCUGGAAUGUCACUUGCCCUUAAGGUUAUAGCAUUAACACUUGCUUCUUUGCUUCACGGUUUUGAAAUUGGAACUCCAACGGAUGAAACGGUCGACAUGGGUGAGACGGUGGGAGUGACCAACAAUAAAGCUACCCCACUUGAAGUCCUUUUCACUCCACGCCUUCCUGCUCAACUAUACGAGUAAUAAACUCUAUAAGGCAAAUUGACAUGUUUCUUGAUAAUUUGGUUAUUGUUGUCUUUGAAUUUUAAAUAAAUGCCUUCUACUUUGUCAGAAUUCCUCAAGGCUUACGCCUCGCGUAGCACUACUAAAAAUGCCUCGCUUAUACGCCUUGUCUUUGAAAACAUUGAUAUUAUGUGCUUAGCAAUUGGUCGAGUAAUCGUGACCAACGACCUCAUAUGUAAUACGUUGAAUCACAUUUUAUAUCUGUAAGCUAGAAAACUUACCGUGAAUAUGAAACUAUAGCCUCGCUCAAGCGUUUCUUUGAGAAAGGGAGUUCUCCUUCACAUCAUGUUGAUAAAAUCUUGAGACAUAUACAGUUUCUCAGCCUCAAAAUCGGCAGGAUCAUUUGCUUCGAGCUUGUGGCAGUGAAGGUGGAGAAACUUACAAUGUUCGAAAGAUGUUUGAUCGACGGCCAAAAGAAGAAGUUGAGAAAUCAAGCCUCGUGUGCCUUCUCCAUGCCAGAACCCAUCUAAAAAUAAAUCAAGCAUUGGCUUAUCUCCUUCUACGUACGCUUUAACAAUCACAAUUAUCAGUCUUGUAAGUUCCCAUGGUCAUGAAGCCUUAUAUAAAGCUGAUUCAAGCUCAUCUUCUUUGCUGUUUGUGUUGAUCUAUUAAUUAUUUCAAAAAAAUUAAUUAGAACAAAUUAAAACAGUUUAAUAAAAUCGGAAACAAAAGAGAACUGAAACCAAAGAGAACUUGGGAUUGGUCGGCUAGUAGACAGCUCCUCCUCCUAACCAAAGGGAACUGAAACCAAAACUUUCUUAUUAAAAUCGGAAACAAAAACUUUCUUAUUAAAAUCUAAACUAAAUUGCACUUCCUUUUUAUUUAUUGUAUAUUUUAUUAUUUAUCUUCCUAACUAAAUUAGGGUUUUGAGAUUAUGCAAACAUAUCGCAAAUUUGCAAUUGCCUUUGGUCGCGCCUUAUUGUGAGUUUAUACACUCUGUUUAUACCGGAGACAAAGGCCUAUGACCACCGAACACGUGGACAGGAUCGAUAUUGAUCGCAGAAACCCUUCGGCAUGCUGCCUACCGAAGCCGUCCAUUUUGACCCUUUUACUACCGGACAUGUGUCAUGCUCACAAUUCGUGUCCACAGUCCCACAUCAGAAAUAUGAGCACAAUGCACACCUCCCAAGGCCUAUAUAAGAAGACCCCUAUCCCCAAAAGGAAUGGAUCAGAACGAACGGUGCGUUACCGAUUGAUCUGUCAGUUUAACAUUACUAAAACCGUACUUACUAAAGCAUCGGAGAGCCUUCGGCCGGUACCACACCGGUACCCCAAGGACUUACCGAACGCGUCCUUUUGCAGGUACUCACCCUUCCGAAGCAAGACGUCUUCCGAAGAUAGCCACCUGCCGAAGGCAUAAUAUCACUAAGUUGGCGAAAUACGUGCCGAGCCACUUUUUCGCAUCAACACGUCUUCCGAAGAUAGCCACCUGCCGAAGGCAUAAUAUCACUAAGUUGGCGAAAUACGUGCCGAGCCACUUUUUUGUAUCAACUGUUUGGCGCCGUCUGUGGGAAUCCAGAAAAAUCAUCAACCCACUAUCUCCAAAACAUAUGGGGACCACCUCAAUACCCACGUUCUUAUCAGAAAAAGGGGUACCAUUCGGAAGGCAAAGCGGAGCUAGCCCAGCGCUACCCCCAUGCACUCCCCUCGGGAACGCCCCAGCAACCCAAACAACUGCCGAAGCCGAGCUGGUAGCCCAAAUCGCGUCCCUACGGAAGGACAUGGCGAGGGUUCAGGAACACAACAACCUUCUUUCGUCCAAAGUGGGCGAAACCCAGCAGCUGCUCCACCAGCAGCACACGCAGAACAUCCAGACAACUCACUCUUCCCAGAGCUUGCAGACCCCCCAUAGGAAGAAGAAACACGAGAAGGUAGCGAGGGCAACGCCCGCACCUUCCAAACAGUUGGUAGUUCAGGCACCCAGGGAUCAGCCGCACGUCCCUAAGAAAGUCUACUCCGAUUGUCGACAUCGGAUUAACGAUCGGGAGGCAGAGAGACGGAGGUCUCCAAUCAGGAUUAUCGCUCGACUAAGGGACUCACGGAUGAAAAUCCUAGGAAGCAAGUCGCCUAUUCGGAAGGUCAGAGGGCUGGACUCUGCAGAGGAGUCGGAAUCCGAAUAUAUCCCUUCCAGGACGCAAGAUUCCACCUACCGUUCGGCAACGCCUACACGGUACUCGGGGGUUAAUUCAUUAAGCCUACAGAGACGAUCAGAAGAUUAUGGUUCCGAGGAAAUCCCUAGCCGAGACCCUGUUGUCCGACUCCUUUUUCAGAAAGUCCAGAAAAUGGAAAACGACAAAGCUCGCUCCCAAGAACCGGAAUGGGGGAAGCUUCGGCCCGGACCAUUCACCAGGCGCAUCCGGGACUCUCGGCAGGACAGGAAAGUGCAGCAACUGCGUAUACCGUUCUAUACGAGAACGGAAGACCCCUUAACACACCUCCACUCAUUUCAGUCCGCCAUUGGGUGCAAGGGCCUGAGCGACGAAGGGCAGUGCCUGCUAUUCUCGUCUUCCCUUACCGAAGCAGCCCUGAACUGGUUCUACCGGUUGGAGCUGAAAACAGUAGAUUCUUUCGACGAGCUGAAGCAGAUUUUACUCAAUCACUUCAUGAUCCAAACGGACCGUCUUUACUCUGCCGAUGAUCAGUACACGAUCCGGCAAAGAGAGGACGAACCUUUGAGAGAAUACGCAGCGCGCUUCAGUCACGAAUAUCAAGAUGUCCGGAAACAGACGAUAGGGCAGCCUACGGCGCCUUCAAGAGUGGCCUUCGGUCCUCGCAUUUCCGAUACCUAGUACACAGCAGCAACUGGCGCACGUACGACGAACUGAUGAAGCAGGCAUCAAUCCACGCCAAGGCCGAAUACUUCAACUCGAAACCCGGGGUUUCGGCAUGGCGAGGGGAUGCCAAACCAAGUGCUUAUCCGGCAAAGGCGCCACCCUACGAGAGAGUCGACCCAUAUUUGGCAGGUCAUAAGAGGAAAUACGACCGUGCCGAUCAAAGAGAACACCCGAAGAAGGGAAAAGGGAGGUAUGGACGCAACGACAACCGGGCGCCCCUACCGAAUCGUGACCACGGCAACGAAGUCUUUACCCUAUUAAACACUACCUACGAGGCCGUCCUGAUGAACGAACAAGAAAUAAUACCGAAGCCGAAUCUACGAAGACCCAAUCGGUAAGACAACCGGGAUACCGGUAAAUUCUGCCGAUACCAUCAGCACAACAGCCAUAAUACGAAAGACUGUAUAAGCCUAAGAAAGAUUGUCGAACGAUUGAUCAGAGAGGGGAAGCUAGAUCAGUAUACCGCCCGGCAGCCACCGGCGCCGGUACCGAACCCAACUCUGCAGAUAAACAUGAUAAGCACUAUAGCGGUGGCCCCACUAUCACGGGAAUGAGCAACCGUUCAAUGAAGCAAUACGUGCGUGCCGCACAAUUUCCUCAGGUAUUCAGCAUAGAGGUGAAUCGGCACCAUGAAAUACCGAAAGUUCACUGGGAACCAAUCACAUUUUGCAAAGAGGAGGAAGAGGGAGUCCUCAAUCCCCACGACGACCCGAUGAUCAUCCGAGCAGAAAUUGCCGACUACGAUGUAGGACGGGUACUGAUCGAUACCAGAAGCUCCGUGAGCGUGAUUUUUGCCGAAGCCUUCCGAGAAAUGGGAAUAAACGACAGCCAGGUCAACCGGCAAUUGACCCCUCUAUUAAGUUUCUCUGGGGAUCUGGUCCAACCAGUCGGUAGUGUAAAACUGCCAAUUACCUUCGACACCGCACCAAGAAAAAUAACGGUAUACGAUCAUUUCCUGAUCGUUGAUUGCCCGACAGCGUACAGCGUUAUAGUUGGACGAACGGCACUCACCAGGGUCAAGGCACAUCUUUCCCCCAACAUGCUAUUGAUGAAGUUCCCGACCCCCAACGGCACAGGGGCUGUCCGGGGAAAUCAGUUAAGCGCGCGGACUUGCUACGCCACGGCCCUCAAGUCAACCUCUUUUAAACUCUCCGACGAGACCAUGUCUGUACAAGGAGUACCGAACGGUACAGGACCAGUUGACGACCCAAGAGAUGAGUCCCCGACUCCUCACACACAACCUGUCGAAGAACUGGAGACGAUAACCUUGAACGAAGAGCAGCCCGAUCGUCGGGUUAGAAUCGGCACCAGACUCACCCCUGCCCUCCGAACGCAGUUCAUAGACUUCUUACGGCACCAUUCGGAAGUGUUCGCGUGGUCCUACGAAGAUAUGCCCGGCAUAGACCCUGAGAUCAUCAGCCAUAAACUCAGCAUUUCCCCCGCUUAUAAGCCUGUAAGACAUAAGCGCCGUUCGUAUGAUGCCGAACGAUACGGAGCCAUGCGCACAGAGGUUGACAAACUUCAAACUAUCGGCUUCAUCAGGGAGGCUACAUAUCCAGUAUGGUUGACAAAUUCGGUAAUGGUCCGAAAAGCCACAAGCGGGUGGCGAAUGUGCCAAGACUAUACCAAUCUGAACAAGGCUUGCCCGAAGGACAGCUUUUCGUUGCCAAGGAUAGACCAGCUCGUGGACGCCACCGCCGGACACGAACUGCUCAGCUUCAUAGACGCCUAUUCGGGAUACAAUCAGAUAUUCAUGCACCCUUCCGACAGCGAACACACCGCCUUCAUAACGGACAGGGGGUUAUACUGUUACAAUGUCAUGCCGUUCGGCCUAAAGAACGCGGGGGCAACGUAUCAGAGGCUUGUCAACAGAAUUUUCGCCAAGUACAUCGGGAGCAUCAUGGAGGUUUACGUCGAUGACAUGUUGGUAAAGAGCAAAACCGCCGAAGGCCACCUGCACAAUUUAUCGAUCAUGUUCGGCAUACUAAAAGACUACCGGAUGAGACUCAACCCGAUGAAAUGCGCCUUCGGUGUGUCCUCCGGAAAAUUCCUCGAUUUCAUGAUCAGUCAGAGGGGGAUCGAAGCGAAUCCCGAAAAGAUAAAGGCAAUAAUCGACAUGGAGAGACCGAAGACGACAAAAGACAUUCAGAGCCUUACCGGACGCGUAGCCGCUUUGACCCGCUUCAUAUCGAAGGCUACUGACAAAUGCGUACCGUUCUUCAAAGCCUUGAAAGGGGGCAAACAGAAUAUCAUAUGGACUGCCGAAUGUGACAAAGCGUUUCAAGACUUAAAGGACUACAUGGGCAAAGCACCCCUUUUAUCAAAACCACUACCUGGGGAGAUUCUCUCCCUAUACCUUUCGGUAUCUAGCACUGCCGUCAGUUCGAUAUUGAUUCGAAAACCGGAAAAAGCAGAGCUACCGAUUUUCUAUGUCAGUAAGGCACUCCAAAGUGCUGAACUUCGGUAUCCCCCAUUAGAACAGCUUGCACUAGCCCUUGUGGUCUCGGCACGAAGACUUCGGCCAUACUUUCAAGCGCACGGAAUCAAAGUCCUGACUAACCAACCGCUCCGGUAAGUGCUCCUAAAACCAGAGACUUCUGGCCGAUUGAUCAAAUGGGCGAUCGAACUCGGAGAAUUCGACAUACAGUUCAUUCUAAGGCCCGCCGAAAAGGGUCAGGCUAUUUCCGAUUUCAUCUCCGAACUCACCCCAUCAAUAGCACAGCCGACACCCGAGCCGGUAAUCGAGACCGGAUUGCCGGAGGAACUGGACGCCGAACACUUUGAUGUCUCAACUCCCGUAUGGAUUCUGCACGUUGACGGCUCGGCAAACCAACAAGGGUGCGGAGCAGGCUUGGUACUGACAACACCGGACGGACUCAAGAUCGAGUACGCCCUCCGAUUCGACUUCCGAACCUCCAACAAUGAAGCGGAAUAUGAAGCUCUCUUGGCCGGCCUUCGGUUAGCCAAGAGCAUGAAUGCCAAACAAAUCAGAAUUCACAGUGACUCCCAGCUCAUUGUGAACCAGGUAACGGCAGACUUCGCGGCCAGAGACGCCUCCAUGCACGCCUACCUUUCGUCUACCCAUCAGCUGCUCCAAAGCUUCCGAGCCUACGAGAUCAAGCAGAUCCCCAGAACCGAAAACAGCCAUGCCGAUGCAUUGGCACGUCUGGCUUCGGCAAUCAACGACAAAAUCGGAAGAAAGGUGCCAGUAGAAAUUCUUGCCCAACCGAGCACGGUAGCCUUCGAAACAUGUACCGUACGGUACGAAGAUACAUGGAUGUCUCCUAUCUACUCGUACCUGACCAAUGGCACCCUUCCAGAAGACAAGGCCCGGGCCCGAAAGCUUAGGUACUGAUCAGCAAGGUACACCGUCAUCAACGACGUCCUUUACAAGCGUGGCUACACCACUCCAUAUCUCAAGUGCCUUAUGGCAAAACAGGGGGACUACAUCCUUCGGAAGAUCCAUAAUGGUGUGUGCGGCGACCAUUCCGGGUCCCGGUCACUCGCCCACAAAGCCUUUCGGCAAGGAUACUUUUGGCCGACCAUGCACCAGGACGCUAAUUCGCUAGUGAAAAAGUGUGAUAAAUGCCAGCGCUUCGGUAACAUACAACAUAUCCCUGCCGAACCCCUGACACCGAUCGUGAGUCCUUGGCCUUUCGCACAAUGGGGACUAGACCUGAUCGGUCCGAUGCCGCAAGGUAAAGGCCAGGUAAAAUACGCAGUGGUUGCCGUCGACUACUUCACCAAAUGGGUAGAAGCCGAACCUUUGGCAACCAUAACGGCGGCAAAGAUGGAGGAUUUCGUCUGGACUCACAUUUGUUGCAGAUUCGGUAUCCCAUAUGCAAUCAUUACCGAUAACGGCAGGCAGUUCGAUUCGGAACUUUUCAGGCAAUUUUUUCACCCGCCUGAAAAUCAACUUGUUUUUCGCAUCACCGGCCCAUCCCCAGUCAAACGGUCAAGUCAAAGCAAUAAACAAAAUCAUCAAGAAACUACUGAAACGGCAGCUGGACAAGGCCAAAUGAGCUUGGCCGGAAAAGCUUCCCGAAGCACUCUGGGCCAUUCGGACAUCUUACCAAACGUCCACGGGAGAGACCUCUUUCUCUUUGGCUUUCGGUUCGGAAGCCAUGGUGCCUGUGGAAAUUGGCAGGAACUUCCUACCGAACGGAAACCUUCGCACCGAAGCCGAAUGAAGAAGCACUUUCUCUAAGCCUCGAUCUUCUUGAAGAGCACCGGGCACAUGCCAACCUUCGGAAUGAAGCCUACAAGCAACGUGUCUCUCGGUAUUACGACUCCAGGGUCAGACACUGCUCAUUCCGAAUCGGAGACUGGGUCAUGCGGAAGGUAUCCCUAGCAACCAAGGAUGCUACGGAAGGGACUCUCGGACCUUCCUGGGAAGGACCCUAUGAGAUCAUCGGUAUCCUUCGAUCGGGAACCUACCGCCUAAGAGACUCCAACGGCAAGACCCUCGGUCAUCCUUGGAACAUGGAACAUCUCAAAUACUAUUUCAAGUAACCUAGCCUACGGUAGGACAAAGUUGUAACCGAUUGGAAUGUAUUUGCCCUUCGGCAGAGAUUAAUAGAAAGUCUUCGGCACUAUUACUUCAGAACCUCUUUUUAAAUCUCUACUAGCCCACGGCUGCCAAUAAUUUCGAGUUAACGUUCUAUGGCAUCUUUAUUAGCCUACGGCAAUAAAUGGUUUUCGAGGUUUUUACCCUACAGAUUCCAUCGGCAUCUUUAUUAGCCUACGGCAAUAAAUGACUUUCGGCGACAAUACGUUCGACAAUUUAAACACAUGUUCAGAUUGUUGAAACAGAUGAUAAAAACAAUAAUAAACUUUUAAAUUAAGGAUGCCCUUGGCACCAAUACGUUCAGAGUACAUAAAAGUUUACAAACUCAAAUUUAAGAGGCCCUCAGGCUUCGUCGCCGGCAGCAGCCUUGGCAGAACCAGAGCCUUCGGCGGCGUCCUCCCCCUCGUACUCCUCGAUCAUUUCCUCAGUUAUCCCUUCCGGUAGAGGAGGAGGAUCAGCGAUGAAGUUCAGAUUCAGCUUCUUCCCGGGGUUGUACCGUUUGAACCGAUACAACAGGUCCGUCAUCUCUGAGCCCACUUCCUUAUCCAGGAGACGAGCGGUACCCCCGGAUAGCUGACCGAACGGCAGCCUCGAUCUCCGCAGCCUUGGCCCGCUCCGACUCCUCCAAGGCCACCUGCACCGCCCCUUUGGCAGCCUCGGCAUCCUUCGCUGCCGCCAGCGCUGCCUCCAGGAGACCCUUCAUCUCCUCCACCUUCGCCUCCGAAGCGAGAACCUGCCGUUCGGCAGACUUUUUCUCCUUCAGCAGAUGGGCAUGGUCCUGGAGCGCUUUGCCAGCCUCGGCAACCUUGGCCCUGCCGUCCUCGUACGCCUUCUUGGCGCGCUCGGCAGCAGCAAUGGCCCGCUUGACGCAGAGCCACAUGUCCAUGGACGCCUGCACAAAACAAAGUCAGAAGCAUGCCCCACAUACAAAAAAAAAGGGACGAAGGAAGAAAGAAAAUCUUACCGAGGCCUGAAGCCGGAAGGUGCGUCCAGCCUCCUCCCGAAGAAGCUUCUUCGGUAGUUCGUCGAUCUCCGAAAGCUCCAUCUGGGAACCGAGGAUCAUAUGGUUGACGAACUGGACCGUCUUCGCGGGGCAGGCGAUGGUGACAGCUUCGGAAGGACCGUCCUCGUCCUCCACCGCAAGGAUAGCCCUUGGGACCUCCGAUUGGCGAGGGCGUUUGGGGACUGGCUCGGCUUCCAGAUCGACUGUCUCCGGCCGCUUGCCGGCAGUCUUGGAAGCGGCGGCCUCGGUAUCCCGAUGCCUCUGUCGAGCUGCCGGAUCCUACUCUACUUGGGACUUGGCUGCUUGAGUUUACCUGUCAGAAGAAGGAAAAUUAGUAAAAUAAAGCAGUGAAAAAGAAGAGAGAAGAGAAGCCGGCCUAUCAAUCGGUAUUUCGGGAACCUACCGGCAAUCUGAAAUGUCGUGGGGACUGAGAAGCGAAGGGGUGUUCCCGAUGGCGAUUUCCAAUCGCCGGAGAGUAGCACCCGCCGAUUCCUCCACGACUUUUGAGAAGUCGGCACCGAGCUGAUGAAGUGCCCCCGCUCGAAAGCCUUCAGGCAGUUCGCCUGAACCCAGCCGCCGUGAUCGGCGCUCUUGGACUUGGUAAUGCUGUAUAAGUACGAGAACUACUCGUAGGAAGGCUCCCCCUCCUCGGCAAUCCCGAAUGCAGCAACUACCCCCAUCAAGGUCACCCAGAAGUUGGGGUUGUACUAGUCAGGAGCGUACCCGAUCUGGGCAAGUAUCUUCUGCACGGCAGGUUGCAACAACAACCGAACCCCUUGCAGAAGAACAUCGGUGAAGAAGGUCACUUCGCCGUUCGCUGGGUCGCUGAGGGACUCGACAAGGCUCGGUAUCCUCAUCUUCACCGAGUCUGAAAUGAGGUACUCGGCCCUAAUCCUCUCCAGCUCUCGUUCGGUGAUCUUGUUGGGCUCCAAGUAGUCGACCCCGAACAAAGUCUUCUUCGGCACACCCACCGGUAUCCUAGGUAGCUCUCGGUGGAUGAUCGUCACCCUCGGCCGAGAGGGACCGGCAAUGCCCUCACCACGACCGGAGGUGGAGGCCUCCGGCUGACGCUCAAAAGGACCGACGCGGGUACCGUCCUUAUAAACCACGGCCAAGGGAAGCAGUUGCCCCGUCAUAAACCCCUUGCCGAUGCCAUGGGUGGGAACGGAGUUCACCUCCUCACCGAAUAACUCAACAUCGGUGUCUUCUCCACCCUCAACAUCGAGGCUCGCAGCCCCGCUGGAUAUGUCCCAGUUCGAUGACUCCCCAUCGAACGCGUUGGGCUCACUGCUGAACGGCGACUCGCUAUCGGACAUCUACAAAACAAAGAAAGGGAAGCUAAGGCCCGUGCCACAAACUACCCUACCGAUGCCUACAUCGCUACCUAUGGCCACUAGACUACCGAAGAAAAAUCUUAUUUUACGUUCGGCUAGCCUACGCCAUGAAAAGACGUGCAAUUAAAAAGGAGAGUAUUUUAGGGGGUACCGAACGGUAUCUUACCUUGAGUAGUGUGGGAUGAGUUGAUCACCGACCACAGACUUCGGAAAUCGCCCUGUAUGCCGAGAACCGCUGUAAAAAUCGCCUUGAUUGUCGUUCAUUCUCUUCAGAAAUCUCCCGCACAGAGCUCUCGCGUCAAUUCACAAUUGCAAAGUGAGCCUUACGUCCGGAGCAACCUCUAUUUAUAGGGAGAGAGCUGUAACAGUAUGUCUCGGAAGACUAAACGGCUCUUUAAUGCGCCGUCAGACGUGCUUUUGCUGGCCACGUGUCACCCGACGAAUGGCGCCGCCGACUGCACGCCAGGCACGGAAGACGAAGCAUCACUCUGCCCUCUCGCCUCUCAGCAUCGACGACCCCUCGGGUCCCAGGUCAGUCUCUCCCGAACGAUAUCUUCCGAAAGGAUCGACACAAGCAUCCUUUCCUCCCCCCAAACGAGCCUACCGAACGGCAGGGUAACCUCCGAACUGCCCUAGAGAACUAAAUUCCCUUCCGAAGGACCUUCGGAAGAGAACUUGGGGGACUACUAUUUAUACCGGAGACAAAGGCCUAUGACCACCGAACACGUGGACAGGAUCGAUAUUGAUCGCAGAAACCCUUCGGCAUGCUGCCUACCGAAGCCGUCCAUUUUGACCCUUUUACUACCGGACACGUGUCAUGCUCACAAUUCGUGUCCGCAGUCCCACAUCGGAAAUAUGAGCACAAUGCACACCUCCCAAGGCCUAUAUAAGAAGACCCAUAUCCCCAAAAGGAAGGGAUCAGAACGAACGGUACGCUACCGAUUGAUCUGUCAGUUUAACAUUACUAAAACCGUACUUACUAAAGCAUCGGAGAGCCUUCAGUCGAUACCACACCGGUACCCCAAGGACUUACCGAACGCGUCCUUUUGCAGGUACUCAGCCUUCCGAAGCAAGACGUCUUCCGAAGAUAGCCACCUGCCGAAGGCAUAAUAUCACUAAGUUGGUGAAAUAUGUGCCGAGCCACUUUUUCGCAUCAACACACUCCUUGUUGGAUACAUGGAUCUGCCGACGCUGCCGAUAGUUCCUGACAAUCUUGGGUGGGGUUUGAAGCAUCUGUAUAUAUGUGUCGUCGAAACCAAGUAUGAUGUCCUCUGUGAUUUGAACCAUCCAUGCCAUCCAAUUGAAAGACUUAUUAAAUUCCUCCUCCUCCUCUGAAUCGAGUACUACUGCUAGUCAGUCAUCAAAAGUGGCUUGCUCUUACAAUGAUGAAGACGGUGUUGUCCUUCCCCGCCUUAUCGGCUGCGGCGUCUUUGGCUCGCAAAUUCUUUUCGCCUAGCUAGUGUCGGUCAAGCACAGAACUUUGUGGGUUUGAGAUGCCUUCAACCUUAACUUCUACUGUUGAAUCAAGUAGUUCACAGCUAAACAACAUCAUCAUCAAGCCCAAAAGAUUUAUUAGCAAUUGCCUAGGAGGCAAACCUCAUCCUCUGCUGGUGGAGCUGCGCGGGAGACUCUAUGCUCUUGCGGGUAAUCCCACAGCCUGCCGCAGCGAUGUGUGUUUCGAGGUAUUCAACAACAAGAGAUGCAAAACGUGGGCCCCUCUCCCGUACCCUCCAUGUUUCCAUAAGAACUCUCCAUUUUUCCUGAUGGCCUACGGUCAUAACCAGUGUUUUCAAAGGCAUGCCUUUGCGCGCGUCGGAGCGAGGCGGCAGGUAAUCUCCUAAGGCGGUCGGCUGUUUCGCAAGUUGCACUUUUAGCGCGGGCAAUGCGUGAAGAGGCGUUGCAAGGCGUGGCUAGGCGGAGCAAGGCGGCGCUAGAUCUGGACAAUUCUGAACCGGAAGAGAUUGUGCAGAUGAGUCUACAAAAUGGCUGCGAGGAAAAUGACUCUGCGAGGAAGAAGAGUCGCAUAUUUUGUUUUUAGGGUUAAAUGAAACGAUGUCGUUUCACUUGAGUGUUUUGAAAAAUAUAAAACGCAAGCUGUUGGCUGUGGCUUUCAAUUUCAAUAUUGAUAAUAUCUUUCUUGCCCUUUUGUUUUUUUGUUUUUUUCUUUUUUGGGGUAAAGAUGAACUUUCAUAAAUAAAGACCAAAGAUUCUUUCCCUUUUCUAACUCCCGGCGACUGUAGCCUUUAUUCUUCUUACCCCUUUUUUUUUUUUUUUCUAAAUUAAUAUAUUAAUAUAUUAACAUAUGGACUUAUAUAUAUAUAUAUAUAUAUAUAUAUAGAGAGUAUAACCCUAAUUUCUACUCUUACAAGAUAAUUAUCAAUUUCAAGAAAUCUCUUCAUCUUUAUACUACAAGUAAGCCACUCUAUUUUUCUCUCUAAUGCUUCGCAACUGUAAUUUGAAAUUUCGUAUAAUUUAAUUGUAUUGUAUUAUUCAUAAUUUUUUCUUAUUAAAAUAAAUUAAUGUUCAAAAGGCUUACGCCUCACUACUUCAAGGUUUACGCCUUGCAUAGCGCGACUAAAACACUUUGCAUCAACGCCUCACCUUUUAAAACAUUGGUCAUAACUUCUCUUAUGCAUUGCCAGCACUAAGAUCAUGGUGUGCACCCAAGACACUCCAGCCGGUGUUCUGCUUCGACGUGGCAGACCCAAAGGGAGAAUGGGAAAUACUACAUUCUAUGUGCGCAGGCAGUCCUUUUCCUUUCGUAGGGAGGGCUUUAGUUGUGGACUUGUCGAAAUCGUCCUGGUGGCACCAAGGAUAAGUUACUCUUUGCCUAUGUAAAAAUUGCUGAAGAUGAUUGGCGUAUAGUAGCCUAUUGCAUGUACAAUAACGAGUCUCGCAUUCGGCGCAUCCAAGGUUUGCCGCCCCUUGCAAGGGCGCCUAAUCAACGUUGGUAGACGAAGAGCUCGUCUAGUUUUGCCCAUUUAGGAGGUACAAAAGUCUGCUUUGUUUUGGCCUCUUACUUGCGAGACUAUGAAUAUCCUUUUAAUGGGUAUGGUGAGAAGAUGCAUCUUAUGGUCCAAACAUUUGAAUAUUCCGUCUCCAAAGCGUAUGAACCUGCCACUGAUAGUGAUGAUGUAAGAUCCUUAUCCGUUAAAGUCCUGUCUACUUGUAUCUUUGAAUAUGAUUGGCGUGAUGAACCUCAUAGAACACUCUGUGCUGAACUGCUUGGUUGCUUUGUGCUGUGAGUAUGGAUAUUGUAUUUUGUUGAUCUUGAAAUUGCAAUUGGCGUAAGGUUUUUAUUGCCUUUAUGCUUUCUGUUCUUGUCUUAGACUUCUUUGCAUGAUUAUAGGGAUUAACUCCAAAGUAAGCGAUAUAUGAGAACUUUUCUUGCACAUUUUGAUUUCUGCUUCUCAUUAAUAAGAGGUUGCGGUUCCUUAUAAUUUUGAGUCCUCCCUUAAUUUGUCGGAUUAUGUAACACCCUGACUCCAAAUUUAAUUACCCAUUUAAUUUACUUAAGUGAAAUUACGAAUUUACCCUUGGGUAGGGGUAAUUUGGUCAUUUUCUUAUCCGAAAAGAUUUUGGGACAACGAGUGGAUGGUUAAGUAGGUCGUAUUGAGACGAGUCCGUAGACACAUAAAGAGCUCGAUUCGGAGUUGCAACGAAGAAGUUACAAGCAAAACAUCACCAAUGGCACAAUCGUAAUUAUUUCAAAGUUGGUUUGAUAAAAACCUACUCUCUCUCUCUCUCUCUCUCUCUCUCUCUCUCUCUCUCUCUCUCUCUCAUUUUCUUUCUCCCCGUCGCGAACAGCCCCCUUCCCUUCGUUUUUUUUUCUGCACAGCCGGUGGCUUCUCUAAGCCGCCGCCGCCGCCACCGUCAACAACUGGCCUCGAGACCGGACCGGUUUGAACCUUUCUUUCCCCGUCCUUUCCCAACCAGGUUCAGCUACCGCCGUUGGCCCUGCUCGCAGGAAUCUCCAAAAACCACCCAGUGGCAAUAUUAUAUUAUCUAAGAGCAUUUUUGUUCACUACUUUUAACCUAAUAUGUAGUUUCACCAUCAUUCUCAAGACUUGACGCAUGUCUAUGGAUAAUAGUAGAACCAUAGGUUUUUUUUUUUUUUUUUUUGGAUUGUGUGAUGAUAUUACAAUGAGAGAGACAAUACUCCCACUCAAAAGUGGAUGAAAUUAAUCACUUAUUACAACUGGACUUGUUACUUAAUUCUUAUCUUUAAAAAUUAAUAUAUGACCAAAAACAAAUUCUUUAAAAGUAAUAUUAAAAAAAAAUAACAAAGUUAAAAGAAGUUAGAAUUUUCUGUAUUUAGUUUUCGGAUCAUUUAGAAAUUAAGCAAUUAAAAGUCUAGUUCUAGGAUCUAGGUCACUUUGAUUUUUUAUAUGUUUUUUCUUUAGCAAAUUUGAAAAAGGUGAAGUUAUUUAAGGGAUCGAUACUUUGAAAUACAUUACUUAUUUCUUAUGUGGAAACUGAAAGGGGGUUCAUUUUUUAUUUUUGCACAUUGUCGCAUAUACAUCUUCUCUUUUUAAGGUCUUUUCCUAUUGAAAUGGGCCAUAAUAUUAAACUCACACACAUUACACAGAUAGGACUCGAACCCAGAACCCUGCAUGAGGGAGUAAAUACUCCAAACCAAUACACUAGUGGGUCCUUUGUGCAUAUGUAUCUUUUGUCCCAAUCAAAUCGACAAACUGUGCUCAAAUUGUACAGCGGAAGAUCUUUAGAAAUUAAAGCAUAAUAUUGAUUUUAUACAUUGUGCAUUUUGCAUGAGGCGUGCGUGAGGCUUUCUCAAUAGCAUCCAUAUAUAAACAUGUAUACAAAGUUAAGAAAACUAUUUCCUAGUCUUAAGAAAAUCUAUACUUUUGGAUUUGGAGGAGGAAACAACCAUUUUGAACCUUGAAUAUAGCCAAGGCUGAGGAAAGGCUUGAUUUGUUCCUCAUUCAGCUGUGUGGCGUAUUUUGCUCUCCUAGCCAUACUUGAACCUGGGCUCGAACGCAUGUACUCUCCAUAGAACACAGUGCUACAAUAUUAUUACGGCAUACACAAAAAAAAGAAAAAAAGAAAUUAGUGAUGAGCAUUAAUUAAUUUUCAAAACCAAUCAAUUUUUUGAAACUGUUUAAUUAGUGUAUAUUAAUUUGCUUACCUGACACGUUUGGGGCGAUUAUUGUCGCUCUAGCCAGCGAGGUUGAUGACCUCAAACAUGCUGGUGUAGGCAUAGACCACCAUGGGACUGGUCCUUCAAGCCCUACCCAAAUAUGUGUUACUUCCAAUCCCAGUUAUUUUGUAGUGGACAAAUGAGUACUGUAAGAUCCCACAUCAACCAACGGAGAAGGGGUGAUGUGCCUAAUAUGUGCACACCCGCAUCCAUCUAGCACGAGGCCUUUUGGGAGCUCACUGGCUUCGGAGUCGUAGGAACUCCGAAGUUAAACGAGUUGAGGGCUAGAGCAAUCCCAGGAUGGGUGACCUACUGGGAAGUUGCUCGUGAGUUCCCAGAAACAAAACCGUGAGGGCAGAGAGGGGGGCUCAAAGCGGACAAUAUCAUGCUACGGCGGAGCCGAUCCCGGGAUGUGACAAUUUGGUAUCAGAGCCACUCUGCCGUGUGGUGCGAGUGUGCCGACGAGUACGUCGGACCCCUAAGGGGGGUGGAUUGUAAGAUCCCACAUCGACCAACGGAGAGGGGGUGAUGUGCCUUAUAUGUGCACACCCGCAUCCAUCUAGCACGAGGCCUUUUGGGAGCUCACUGGCUUCGGAGUCGUAGGAACUCCGAAGUUAAGCGAGUUGGGGGCUAGAGCAAUCCCAGGAUGGGUGACUCACUGGGAAGUUGGUCGUGAGCUCCUAGAAACAAAACCAUGAGGGCAGAGAGGGGGGCCCAAAGCGGACAAUAUCGUUCUACGGCGGAGUUGAUUCUGGGAUGUGACAAUUUGGUAUCAGAGCCACUCUACCGUGUGGUGCGAGUGUGCCGACGAGGACGUCGGGCCCUUAAGGGGGAUGGAUUGUAAGAUCCAACAUCAACCAACGGAGAAGGGGUGAUGUGCCUAAUAUGUGCACACCCGCAUCCAUCUAGCACGAGACCUUUUGGGAGCUCACUGGCUUCGGAGUCGUAGGAACUCCGAAGUUAAGCGAGUUGAGGGCUAGAGCAAUCCCAGGAUGGGUGACCCACUGGGAAGUUGCUCGUGAGUUCCCAGAAACAAAACCAUGAGGGCAGAGAGGUGGCUCAAAGCGGACAAUAUCGUGCUACGGCGGAGCCGAUCCCGGGGUGUGACAAUUAACUGAAAGGACCCGCCCCGAAUUUUUCAAAACCCGAGGCGACCCUUUGGAAUUCUUGACAUCACCCCGAUGCCAGGCCCGUUUACUAAAGGUCGAGACUUCCUGCCGAAAUUUCGGCAGAGUCUCCCUUAUAAAUUGAACGUUUCCCAAAAUUACAACCUGCAUAAAAACGCAUUUAAUAUUCACAACUGGCAGCAUGCACAAUAAAAUUUCAUGCAAAUUCACAUAAAUGGCCUUUGGUCUUCCAAUAAUUCUCAACCAACUACCAAACAAUUCAAAUACCAAUUAUGACCAACAUUUAGUCUGCGGCUGCACCUAAUAACCUUAGGCUGCCUACGUACCCUCCUUGAGGGAUCAAGCCACACGUAGUUCUUCCCUAAAACCCAAUUCCACACUUAGGCGAUACCUUAUUUCAUUUCUCUGUAUUUCAUAUAAUCUCCCGAUACGCCGGUACAACCAACGCCACGUAUGGGGCCUGUCAAUACGCUGGAUAACCUACGCCACGUGCGACCAUGUCAUACUAUCAUAAUAUCUCCCCAUACGCCGGUACAACCAAUGCCACGUAUGGGGCAUGUCUCAACGCCGGAUAACCUACGCCACGCGAGACCUGCACAUCAUAUCACAUAUCUCCCCAUACGCCGGUACAACCAACGCCAUGUAUGGGGCCUGUCCCAACGCCGGAUAACCUACGCCACGUGGGACCUCAACAUCAUAUCACAAAUCUCCCCAUACGCCGGUACAACCAACGCCACGUAUGGGGUCUGUCGACAUGCCAGAUAACCUACGUCACAUGCGACCUCAACACAAUAUCACAUAAUCUCCCCAUACACCGGUACAACCAACGCCAUGUAUGGGGCCUGUCUCAACGCCGAAUAACCUACGCCACGUGAGACCUGAACAUCAUAUCACAAAUCUCCCCAUACGCCGGUACAACCAACGCCACGUAUGGGGCCUGUCCCAACGCCGGAUGACCUACGCCACGCGGGACCUCACUUUCACUUGGUGGUACUUGUAGUGGAACCAAAAUCCGAGGAGGUACCUAAGGUAGUGCGUAUAGCACUCCAAACUGACAUUCUAGACUCUUUUGUACCCUUGUACAAACAUAUUAUAAUUAUAAUUAUAAAUAUUAAUUCUAAUAUUGUGUAACCCUCCACAAUAGUCUGGUACCCGAUAAUCUCCCUUAGAAAGGAGAGAUUACUCCGGGAGACUCACGGUCAACCAAGGGUCAAACUACUCUAACACUGGUCAAACGGACUUGCGGAACCCACGACCUCCAAUUUCCUAUCCGAAAGUCCCUAUGGGUUCUACCAGGUACAGGACACUUGUCCUGCAAGUUUGGUUCAGAUCGGACGGUCGGAUCGCUCACGAUCGCACGACCUGACGGUUAAUAUAACAUAUAAACUUUAAAUUAUUAUUCAGAACAUCCGGGGCUCCGAUUCAUAAUCCAUGAAUUCCUACACGAUCCUAGAAUUACCUAGAUUAACAUAUAAUAAAUUUGGGACCAUCCAACGGUCCCAACCUAUCGAACCCGGAUAACGCACAAUAUGCGAUCGUCCGUUCGAUAGUCAAACGAUGUCCGAAUUGAGAUCCGCGAAAUCCUACGCACUUGUGACAACCUAAGGAUCUCAUCGAGACAUAGUGCCACUUUUUCUACAGUGCCUAUGCGCCGCCGCACGCGCCGGCAGCGCGUGGGUGCCCAAAGCGAGAACGCUUCACCAGAAAAUCUUAAAACCACGGCUCCAAACUCCUACCCUAGGUAUAACACCCUAUUUGGAGCCACUUUUGUUCUUGGACCUACCCCAAAAAGUGGCCGAAAAUGGCCGAUCACGGCGGCCGAAGUUCGGCCAAUUUUCAAUUCGAAAAUCGAGUUGGCUACGCUAAGAAUCGAUCUAAUCCUACCCAACCAUCAGCUAGAACAGCUCGAGAGGUUCAAGAUCCAUACCUGGGUCGACGGAAAUGGUGGCCGGAGGAGGGAGAUCGACGACGUUGAAGUUUCGAUGACCUCCCGGCGGUUUUCUGCAUUUUUCGACCAGCACAGGCCGCGUCGCCGGCGGGGAACGGUCGGGGAAGGAAGGGGACGUCGUCCUGGUCAUUUUGGUACCGGCCCCGCCCACAGCCGUGGUCGGUGGCCGGAGAUACGAGGAGAGAGAGAGAGCCGACGGGAGAGAGAGAGAACUCGCGGGAGAGAGAGAGAGAGAGAGAGAGAGAGAGAGAGAGAGAGAGAGAGAGAAAUCUGAGUUUUCAUAAAAAAUCUCAUUUCAAAAUAUUUACGAUUGUGCCACUGAGCUUCUUUUGACCAUAUCUCUCUCGUUACAACUCCGAUUCGAGCCCACUACGUGUCUAUGAACUCGUCUCAGUACGACCUAUCCAAAAAUACUAGUCACUGCCCCAAACUCUCUCCAGUUAAAAAUAUGACUAAAAUGCCCUUAAAUAAUUAAAUAAUUAAAUAAGGGGUAAAUUUGGGGUCGGGGUGUUACAAGUACCCAGUAUUCUCUGAAGUCGAGUCCCUUGCUUGUGUUGUUAUAACUGUUAUUCCAUUAUCCAAUACAUGUAACUCAGUGUUCUGCACCCAUUAAUUAAUUAACCAUCAAAACCAUGACAUAGUAUAUAUAGACAACCAACAAGCUCAAUUAUAGCGAUGAGUUAGUAGUACAUAACGUUUCUCAUACAUGUAUGUGAAAUUCACUAUUAUAUGACGAGACUCGCGUAUAGCGUUCUGAUUUGUUAUAUAUACAGUUCCUUUUUAUUGAAGGAUUCCUCAAAUAAUUAUUUGAGGGAUGCCCUUCAGGGUACCCUACAAUUUUUUUUUUCAAUGAUCCAAACCAUCUAUUUUUUAGGUCUUCAUUCAUAGAUCAUCAUCACAAAAAAUUAGAAAUAUUGGAAACUGUUUCGACAUCCAAUUGUGGCCUACAAAAUCAAUGAACACGGUGGUGCUUCAAGAAAUUACCAAAAUUUCAAUAACUCAAUUGAGUGGUCCAAUGAUAUUGGAUUCAAUUGAUUUUCUGUAGAGAUGAUCUUUGAAUGUGUAUCUACAAAAUAGAUGGUUUGAAUUAGUAAAAUACAAUCCAGAGUGAGCACUACAAGGGGUGUCCCUCAAAUAAGCUUAUUUGAGGAUUUCUCAAUGGAAGCUCUCUGUGUACACUACUACAAAAAAAAUACUUUGCGUGACAAAAUAAGUUUGUUACGCAAAGUACAAUUUCAUCACGCAAAACCUGUGUGACGAAAUUUUGGUUUGCCACCAAAACUUGUGUGACGAAAUUGUGGUCUCGCAAAGCUCGUGAAGAUAAGGUUUACGCGACGAAAAAUAAUAUUCAUUGUGCGGAGCUACUUUGAGCGACGUACCUUAACGUCAUGCAAAUCUACUUUGCCCGACGAAUCCUAACAUCGCACAAAUAUUUGCGCGACGAAAUAUUUCAAAUAUUUUAAUUUUUGUGUUUUAAAAUUUUUUAAUUAAAAUAAACUAAUUUAAUAGUUUGCUCGACGAAAUCUUUUUGUUGCGCGAGGUUUUUGACUUUUUGUUUUAUUAUUUCUCUUAUAUUAAUUUAUUCAAAUUUUUACUUUUUCAAUUUAAUUGUAUGAUUUUAUUUUUUUAAUUACUUUAAUUUAAAUUGACAUAUUCUAAAUAAAAUUACAUAUGAAAAAUAGUGAUCAAAUUAUCCAAUAUAUAUAAUAUUCAAAAUGUACACAUAAAUUAACAAAGUAUAAUAAUAAAAUCCUAAUACAAGCCUAUUAUGGUGGUAGUGGCGGAGGAUAUGUUUCGCUAGCAUCCUAAUCCUCAACUUUAGCAGUCAAAGUCUUGACAAUUCCCUACAGAAAAACAAAUAUGGUUGCGCGACCAAAAAAUUUCCGCGUCCCAUUUUGGUGCUUGCCCAAAUUUUUAGAGUUUUGCACAACGAAUUGUUGGUCGCGCAAAGUUUUGCGCGACCAAAAAAUUCCCGCAUCUUUGUGCGACCGAAAAAUUCCCGCAUCACAUUUUUUGUGCCCACCCAAAUUUUUAGAGUUUUGAGCAACGAAUAUUUAUAAAUUGGUUCAUAGUGCAAUAUCUAUAAAAAUAAUUGUUAUGAAUAAUAAAAAAUAAAAUUAUUUUAUUUUAUGAUUUAAUAAUAAGGUUAGUUGCUACGAAGCAAUUGGAUUCAACAAUCACUGUGGCACUGUUCACAAUUCCAUACUUUUGGGCUGUGUCAGCAAAGGUCAAAGUUGGCAUAUUUUUUAGAGAACCAUAAAAUAUAACAAAUGGUUUAUUCCGCGGAAUUGUGAUUUCUUCAUUGUACUCUCCCCCUCCAAUGACACUUUUGGUGUUGUCGGCAAGAAUCCUAUUAACGCCAUCAGUGAUGGUCUUGGAAUUAGAUAAACUCUUGAACCUCUUCCAAUCGUGAACCACAGCCGUCAGAUCAGCCACCUUAGCACCUAUAGUCCGGCAGUAAUUGGCAUGGAUGGCUGUGACAGCUUUGAACCCUGCUAACUUCACAGAAGCCACUGAAGUAAAGGGUGUCCAACAUCUUCAUCCUCUUUCAAUAUGGUGGAGUAGUUUUCCAGGCGUACCAUUUGUCGAAUAAGGAGACUGUUCUGCUGUUGGAUCUCACCAUGUAGAAGUUUGUACUGAUGGGGUUUUCUUCAGUACCAUUUGUCGCCAUUGAAGCUGAAAAAUGUAUUGCUUUCUUAAUUUUCUCUACGUGUAAUUAUACUGUGUUUAUACAAAUAUAUAAGAGUAACGUUUAGUUGCCAUACUGAGUAUCGUGCAUACAGAUUCAACAAAAUCAUUUUACGAACUCACAGUCUGGCAAUAGAAAAUUUUACUUGAUUUAUGGCAUCUUUUAUGAGAAAUGUAGAUAUGGUUAUGUAAUAUAUUAUUUAUCACAUUUUGCUUGGGUUGAAGUUAAAUUCGUUUUACAAUAGUUUGAUAUGUUAUGUUGUUGGACAAUUGAUCAAUUGAUGGAGACCGACAACCUCAUAUAUAAUAUGUUGAAUAGGGGAGUUCUCCUCCGCAUGAUGUUGAUAAAAUCCUGAGACAUACAGUUUCUCAGCCCAAAAAUCUCAGACAUGUAUAUUUGAUCCAUAACAAAUCAAUAAAUUACAAUUUAUUCUAGCACUAAAACAUUGGCAACAAACAAGCUUUUCCAUCCCAAAAUUUUCAAAAUUGAACUUUAAUUACUAAAUUGUGGAACCUAUUAAGAAAAUUAUAUCCAAUAUCUACACUUUGGGAUUUGGAGGAGGAAGCAGCCAUUUGGAACCCUGAAUAUAGCCAAGGCUUAGGAAAGGUUUGAUUUGUUCGUCCGUCAAUUGUUUGGUGUAUUUUACUCUCCCAGCCGCACUUGAACCUGGACCCGAACACUUGUAUUCUCCAUAGAACACAGUGCUACAAUAUUGCCACAUACACAAAAAAAAUAUACAUAUAUAUAUAUUGAUAAGUAUUAAUUAACUCUCAAAACCAAUCAAUUAUAUGAAACUGUUUAAUUAGUGUAUAUAAUUUUGCUUACUUGUCACGUUCGGGGUGGUUAUCGUCGCUCCAGCCAGCGGGGUUGAUGACCUCAGACAUGCUGGUGUAGGCAAAGACCACCAUGGGACUGAUCCUCCAAGCCCUGCCCAAAUAUGUGCCAUUUCCAGUCCCAGUUAUCUUGCAGUGGACAAAUGAGUAUCCAGUAUCAUCUGAAGAUGAGUCCCUUGCUUGUGCUGUUAUCACUGUUAAUCCAUUAUCCCCCACCACAUGUAACUCAUUGUUCUGCACCCAUUAAUUAAUUAACCAUCAAAACCAUGACAUAAUAUAGACCAUCAACAAGCUCAAUUAUACAAAUGAGUUAAUCGUACAUAUAACGUUUCUCUUACAACAUGUACGUGAAAUUCACUAUUAUAUGACGAGACUCGCAUAUAGAGUUCCUUAAUAAAUUUUCCUUUCAUUGAGGAAUUAUAAGGAGAGUUUGGGUGACAUUACCAAAUAGAGAGACUUUCCACUUCCCCAGAUGAAAUCCACAGUGCCUUCAAUAAAGCAGUCCUUCAAAAAAUGAUUGCCCUUGUCAUCACAAAAGGUGUCCUGGAAACCAAUAAGUUUGCAAUUGUACAAGGCUGACUUAUUCCCCGACACCCUCAAUGCCACUGCCUGCGCUCCCACUGCUUUCCCAUCUGGCCUUGGUGAAGAGUUCUUCACAACCACAAAUCAACGCAAAUUUUUAUCCCCACACAAAAAUAAUAAAAGAAUGUCGACAAAUAUUUAUUCUGUGAUGAUAAUAUCAUGUGACAUGUUGAUUUGAUAAAUUUAAAUACCUUAAUAAUAACAUUAGCUGCCAUAAAGUAGUCAGAUUCAACAAUCACUGUGGCACUGUUCACAGUUCCAUACUUUUGGGCUGUGCCAGCAAAGGUCAAAGUUGGCAUAUUGGUUGGAGAGCCAAAAAAUGUAACAAAUGGUUUAUUCCGUGGAAUUGUGAUUUUCUCUUCGUACUUUCCCUCUCCAAUGUACACAAUGACACGUUUGGUGUUGUCGGCCGGAAUGCUAUUAAUGGCGUCAGUAAUAGUCUUGAAUUGGCCACUUCCAUCUUUCAUGACCUUGAUGACGGUUUGACCAGCCUCAGCCGUUGCAAGGGCAGGGUCAAGCGUGCCCUGCCGCUCUGUGUACGGCUUCACAUUGUUAUUGAACCACGUGUUGACUUGGGGUUGGUUGGCUGGUAUCGGUGUAUCAUCAUCCGCCAUGGCUAUAGUGGCAGUGAGGAGAAUUAAUGUCAUGGUUAGAGUUGCAUCAACGCCCAUGCAUGUUGUUUUUCCGACCAUUUUUUUCAUUAAUUUUUUUUGGAUUUUUGGUUUUGAGGUUUUGUAUGUUUUUGGGUGCUAUUGAUUAGAAUGGUAGAAGGAUUUGAUUUUAUAGUCCACUAUGCAAGAGCUAUUGAGGCACAUAUUUAGAGGGAUUCAUCCAAAAUUGGUGAAACUUGGAGAGCUUCUCGCACAUUUUGAUUUCCGAUUAGUGGCUAAUGUUCAUUGGGAUUUCAGAUCCACACUUUGAAUUAGCUAAUUUGGGAAGGAAGAGGACAUAAUUAAGAGAGUUUUACUUAAUCAUCUCAUGUAAAAUCUCAAUUAUAGCCUUGACAAUUAAGGAUAUAGCAUCAUAUACUCACAAAUUAGCAAGGGUGGAGCCAUAGUUAGACUAGGUGGGCUCCACCCCAGUACAACUAACUAGAAAAACGGAAUUUAGUGUUAAUUUUAGGAAGUUCAUCUUAUUUAAUGGAAUUCAUCUCAUUCAGAAAAAAUGUAGUUCACUCAAAUUAGAAAGAGUGCAGUUGUCACUGAGACAAUUAAUCCUCUUGAUAGGGUGACAAUACAUUUAUAAAAAAUAUAUAUAUGUCUUUAAUUAUUUUCAUGAUCAUUUAGAAGUGAAGCAAUUAAAACCCUAGCCCCAAGUCACUUUGCAUUUCCACGCAGUGUUUUCAAAGGCAUGCCUUCGCGCGUGUCGGCGCGAGGUGAGAGGAAAACACCCAAGUUGGUCGACUGUUUCCAGAGUUGCACGUUUAGCGCUGGGAAGGCGUGAGAAGGCGUUGCAAGGCGGGGCCUGGGGGAGCGAGGCGUUGCAAGGCAUACCUGAUCUGGAAACUUCUGAACCGGAAGAAAUUUGAGAGUCUGCAAAUUUUCUGUGAGGAAGACGACUUGCUUUUUUUUUUUAGGUUUGUAAUGAAACGACGUUGUUUUGAUUGCAGUGUUUUAAAAAUUAUCUUAUAGUGAAACGACGUCGUUUCACUUGGAGUGUGUUGAAAAAAUAAAAAAACAUAAGUUUCAGUUUUUUUUUCCUUACCUUUAUUGUAAUAAACUUAAGGCAAGAAUUAAUAUUUUUCUUUUUUUUCCUAACUCCAACCGGCUGUAGCUUUUGUACUUUCCUUUUUUUUUUUUUCCUUUAUUUCUCUUCUCUAAAUGAAUAUAUUAACAAAUGGACUAUAUAUAUAUAUUGUAUAGUACGUGUACAACCCUAAUUUCUACCCUUACUAGAUAACUUCAUCAAUUUCAAGAAUUCUCUUCAUCUUUCGACUGCAAGUAAGUCCUUUUUUUUUUUUUUUUGACAUACAUGCAUCAUACUUGUAUAAUUUGACUGUAAUAAACUGUAAUUUGAAGUUUCGUAUAAUUUUUUUUCAAUUUUUUUUAAAAAAUAUACUAGUUAUCUUAUUCGUUUAUGUGAUAUGGUAGAAAUUUGACGUAUAUGCAUCAUACUUGUACCUUAGAAAUAUUAAUGGUAUUGUUUUAUAGAUAUGAAUCGAAAAGAUCUUGCGUGGAAGUAUGCAAAAGAAAUAGAGGGGGAAAAAUACUUGAGAUGCGCAUUUUGUGAUCAAAGAUGCAGUGGAGGAAUUUCUAGACUUAAGCAUCAUUUAGGUCAAACUCAUCAUGGUAUGCAACCAUGUAAGAAAGUUCCUGAGCAUGUGAAAAAAGAGUGUGCCACAACUUUGAAAAAUCUUCAGCUUGAAAAAAGAAAGAAAAAUGAAAUGCUUAGAGAGACUGGGGAUGGUCUAGGAGGAGGGGCUCUGAGUGUGGAAAUUUCAUUGGAUGAAUAAUAUGGAAUCCCUGGUACUAGGAGUGCUGCAGUUGAUAAGCCACAACUUCAUCAACCAAAUCAAAGGACCAAUGGAUAGAUUUGUCACUUUAGAAGCUUGACAAAGUACAUUAAAUUCAGCAUACAAACAAGAAGAAAGAAAGGAAGUUUGUCGAAAGAUUGGUCGUUUUUUCUUCUCUAUAGCACUUCCAUUUAAUAUUGUAAAUGAUCCAUUUUGGCUACCUAUGGUGGAAGGGAUUGCCGCAUAUAGUGUAGGAUUUAAGCCUCCAUCAAUGCAUGAGAUGAGGACUUGGAUGAGUUCUUUCACGAAAAACAAAGAGAUAAUUCGCCCUGCAAUCACACGGUUUGCCACUUCUUAUCUUACUCUUCAAAGCAUCUAUAAGCAAAAGCAACCUCUUCAGGCAACGUUUUCUUCUAGAAAAUGGCACAAUGGACCAUUUCUCCAACAUAAUGAAGGUAUUAGGGCUCACUCAACUAUACUAUAUGAUGUUAAUUUUUGGUCCCAUGUUGCUUUUUGCAUCAAAAGUGUUAUUCCAUUAGUAUUGGUUUUGAGAGAAGUUGAUUCAGAGGAGAGACCUGCUAUGGGAUUUAUUUAUGAGUUAAUGGAUGUUGCAAAAGAGAAGAUUGCUUUUAAUUGUGGAAAAGUUGAAAGAAAGUAUAAACCAGUUUGGAGAAGAAUGGGGCCACAACUUCAUCAACCUUUACAUGCUGCUGGUUAUUAUUUGAACCCUCAAUUGCGUUAUGAAGAAACUUUUUCUAAUGUUGAUGAAGUGAGGAAGGGAUUGGAAGAUUGCAUGACUACGAUGUUGUCUUUUGAGGAUCAUAUGGCUGCUGAUAUCCAGUUGGACUUGUAUGAUGAGGCAAAAUGAGAGUUUGGAAGUCGUCUUGCUGUGAAUUCAAGGAAACUACGAACUCCAGGUUAUAAUCUUUACUUUUUCAUUUUCAUUCGAGUAUAAUGAACACUUGAAAUAAAUGUUAAACUUAAUUAGAUGGAUUUGUUUUUUUUUUUAGCAAAUUGGUGGAAGCGUUUUGGAAGGGACAUACCUGAGUUGACGAAGUUUGCUAUUCGGGUCCUUAGCCUUACUUGUAGUGCAUCUGGGUGUGAGAGGAAUUGGAGCACAUUUGAGCAGGUAAAGUUCUUCUGUUAAUUUAUUGUUCAAAUUUUGAUGCUUCUAAAUCUAAUUUUGUAUGUUUAUAUUCAUUUUAGAUUCAUACAAAGAAAAGAAAUAGACUUGAACAUCAAAAGCUCAAUGCUCUAGUAUAUGUGAAGUAUAAUACGGCACUAAGAAAGAGAAGUAUUAGAAGGAGGUCAAAGAUUGAUCUAAUAUUGGUGAAUGAAAUUGAGUAAGAUGAUGAAUGGAUAGCUGAGGUUGAAGAACAAUUCUACCAACUGAUCUUACUUGGCUUAAUUCUCAAGAAUUAUAUGAUGUUGAUGUCAUCAGAAAUAUGCCCACUGAACCUUAUGAAACUGAUCUACAUACUCGAGUGCCUAUUUUUGUGGAGUCUAUUGGCGAUCCUAGGACUCAAGAGCGAGGGAAUAUUCAUGUUAGGACUCAAGAGCCUAUUGUCCAUUCUAGAACUCAAGAUCCUAUUAUUGAUGAUGAUCUUAUUCUUGACAAUGAUGUUCUUCUUUCCUCGUUAGCUUCAAAAAAGAAAAAAGAUGGUGAAACCUCAAGUAUGGAAAGUAAAUCAUGGAGUGAAAGUUACAAUUAGUGUUUAAUUCAUUACCACUAAAUUUUAUAAUUUUAAUUCAUUGUUCAUAUGUACAGGUAAGAGGAAAGUCAAAAGCAAGUCCAUAAGAGUGAUGCUUAUGGAUGAAGAUGAUGAGAUAGAUAAAGAUCCUUCAACAUUUGAUAGUGGGAAAAAUCCUUUUCAUAUUGAUACAGUUGAUCAAUAUGAUAGUGAUGCUAGUUUGAAUGAUAUUAGUGUUGAGGAGUAGGAUGAGUGAAUUAUGUUUUUGUUUUGAUGUUGAAUAAAUAUUUUAUGUUUUGGGAUUGAUUAUUAUGUUUUGAAUGACAAUUAGUACUUAUAUUUGAUUAUAUUUAAAAGAUUGUUAUGAUUGAAUAAGAAUUAGUUGUACAAUUUAAUCGUAUUGUAUUAUUCAUAAAUUUUUCUUAUUAAAAUAACUUAAUGUUCAAAAGGCUUACGCCUCAAGUAGCACUACUAAAAACGCCUCGCCUUUAAAAACAUUGAUAUUAUGUUCUUAGCAAUUGGUCGAGUAAUCAUGACCAACGACCUCAUAUGUAAUACGUUGAAUCACAUUUUAUAUCUGUAAGCUAGAAAACUUACUGUGAAUAUGAAACUAUAGCCUCGCUCAAGCAUUUCUUUGAGAAAGGGAGUUCUCCUUCACAUCAUGUUGAUAAAAUCUUGAGACAAUACAGUUUCUCAGCCUCAAAAUCGGCAGGAUCAUCUACUUCGAGCUUGUGGCAGUGAAGGUGAAGAAACUUACAAUGUUCGAAAGAAGUUUGAUCGACCGCCAAAAGAAGUUGAGAAAUCAAGCCUCAAAGUUGAAAGGUCCCAAUCGAGCACUCUUCUUUUUCUUUUUCUUUUUUGGUUUGUGUGAAAAUACUUGCCUUAUUAUGAUUCUUGAUUUCUUUUGUUUACUAACACAUAAUGAAUAAACAAUUCUGGGAGCUUUAGAACAUGAUAUAAAUGUUACAGGAAAGCUAAAGUGCAUGAAAUGCAUGAAAUAAAUGAAACACACGUCUUAACACUGUUGCGGAAAUUAUCAUUUCCUUGUUGUUUUGGAUUAAAAAACACUAUAUAUAUAAGCUUAAUGUGAUGUCACAUGUUGGGUGUGCAUGCAUUCUAAUUGGUUCUUCUUUCCCAGUCAUUGUCAAUGUGUUUGUCCUCAAUUGGCACGAAUCAACAUCAAUCGAUUUUUCUAAGAGCAACUUUAAGGGAGUGGGUAAAGGAGCAGCCACAUAAGCAUUUUCCUAUUCUCUCCGGACAGGCAAUGCUGCACCCCAGGUACAAUUUUGCCCAUUUAUUUGUGUGUACUUCCUUGAAAAUGCGCUUAUAUAUAUCACAAGUUUUUCAGCUCCAAAUCCUCAAACUCAAACCCAAUUGAAGAACAACUAUAACCAGCCAUGGAGUUUUUUAACCUCUCAUGCUCAUCUGAUCUUUUGAUACCUCUUGUGGCAGCUGCCUUUUCACUCUUUCUUUACUCUCUCUUAAUGAAAUCAAGAGGGGAAAGAAAAUCACCACCAAAAGCUGGGGGUGCGAGGCCUAUAAUCGGUCACCUCCACUUACUAGGAGGGUCAAAACCACCCCAUUUAGUUUUGGGUAAAAUGGCUGAGAGGUAUGGGCCAAUCUUCACCGUAAAUAUAGGAGUGCAUAAAGCUCUGAUUGUAAGCAGCUCAGAAAUAGCAAAAGAGUGUUUUACUACCAACGACAAAGUGUUUGCUAGUCGUCCGAAAUUCAUGGCGGCCGAAAUCAUGGCCUACAACUAUGCCUUCCUCCCCUUCAGCCCUUACAGCCACUACUCUCGCCAAGUUCGCAAGAUAGUUCUGCUUGAGGUUCUCUCCAACAGCCGCCUUGAGAUGCUCAAACACGUUCGAGAAUCCGAAGUCAAGGCGUCCAUGAAAGGAAUAUACGAGCGAUGCGUGACCAACGGGAAGAGCAGUACCGGUUCGAACAAGGCGUUGGUGGAGAUGAGGGAAUGGUUUUUGGACAUAAAUGAAAACAUUGUGUUUAGGAUGAUUGUAGGGAAACGAUUUGGGGAAGCUACAAGCUCAAAUUCCAAAGGCAGUAACUAUUAUUUAAAGAAGGAGACGUACAUGGAUUUUCUGAGAUUGUCUGGGACUUUUGUGCUGUCCGAUGCGAUUCCCUGGUUGAGGUGGUUGGACUUGGGUGGCCAUGAGAGGGCCAUGAAGAAGGUAGCCAAGGAGCUUGAUCUUGUGUUUAAUGGAUGGCUAGAAGAGCACAAGCAGAAGAGGAAGAUUUCAGGCCAAGUGAAGGGUGAUGAUGAUCAGCUUGAUUUCAUGGAUGUGAUGCUUUCCAUUCUUGAUGUUGAUGGUGCUAAUGAGAUUACUACAGAUUAUGAUGCUGAUACUGUCAACAAAGCAACUUCCAUGGUGUGCGCUUCUUUUCUUUUCUUUUCUUUUAUAAUAUUAAAAGAUAAUGUGACAGUGUUUCGUCUUUCAAUUUUUGCCCCACUAUGAACCUUUUCACUUGAUUAUAACAAAAAACGACAUAACUAACAUAUCAUUUGGUGAACAAAAAAUUAUGCAUGUUAUGCGUGUUGCAAUGUGUUCUUUUCUUGCAGGCUCUUAUAGUAGCCGGCGUAGAGGCGCCUGCGGUGCAGAUGACAUGGGCUCUGGCUUUACUUCUCAACAACCGCGAAGCUCUCAAGAAGGCUCAGGAAGAGCUAGACCAAAUCAUUGGUAAAGGCAGACAAGUGAAGGAAUCAGACAUCAAGAACUUGGUCUAUCUCCAAGCCAUUAUUAAAGAAUCAACGCGUUUAUACCCUGCUGGACCAUUAUCCCUGCCUCACGAGUCGACUGAAGAUUGCAUGGUCGGUGACUAUCAUGUCCCGGCAGGCACGCGCCUCUUUGUUAACCUUUCAAAGCUUCAUCGAGACCCGAGGGUUUGGUCCGAACCGAAUGAGUUUCGACCAGAGCGAUUUCUCACAACCCACAAGAGCUUUGACGUUAAGGGUCAUGAUUUCGAGUUAAUUCCAUUUGGAAGUGGUAGAAGAAUGUGUCCUGGAAUGUCACUUGCCCUUAAGGUUAUAGCAUUAACA
rnacentral:lncRNA from 1 species